UACGUAGGGGGCUAGCGUUGUCCGGAAUCAUUGGGCGUAAAGCGCGUGUAGGCGGUCCGGUAAGUCCGCUGUGAAAGUCGGGGGCUCAACCCUCGGAUGCCGGUGGAUACUGUCGGGCUUGAGUACGGAAGAGGCGAGUGGAAUUCCUGGUGUAGCGGUGAAAUGCGCAGAUAUCAGGAGGAACACCGGUGGCGAAGGCGGAUCUCUGGGCCUUACCUGACGCUCAGGCGCGAAAGCUAGGGGAGCGAACUGG
rnacentral:rRNA from 1 species